UCUCUCUCUCUCUCUCUCUGAUUCGCAAAUACACAAAGGAAAGUGAAAUAGAAAUAUGCAAAGACGCACCAUAUACGCAUGGGCAGUGGCGAUUGUCUGCUUCGUAGUACUGAUGAUUGUGACUCCGGCCAUUCCUCAAUCUGAAGAAUAUCACGAUUUCGCUGAUCAACGCGAAUUCUUUGGAAUACCCAAUACUCUGAAUGUCAUUUCGAAUUUUCCUUUCCUUGUUAUUGGAGUGAUUGGACUUGUGCUUUGCUAUCAUGGGAAUUAUUUUAAGCUGAGCCUACAAGGUGAGCUUUGGGGUUGGACAUGUUUUUUCCUUGGUGUGGCUGCUGUUGCUUUUGGCUCUGGAUACUACCAUCUCAAGCCUGAUGAUGCCCGCCUUGUGUGGGAUCGCCUGCCGAUGACUGUUGCAUUCACAUCAAUUAUUGCGAUUUUUAUCAUUGAAAGGAUUGAUGAGAGAAAGGGCACAAUAUCCAUUUUACCUUUAAUAUUGGCCGGUAUUAUAAGCAUUGCAUAUUGGAGGUUUUUUGAUGACCUCCGCCCAUAUGCACUAGUCCAGUUUGUUCCUUGCAUUGCUAUUCCACUAAUGGCUAUCUUGUUACCUCCAAUGUAUACCCAUUCUGCAUAUUGGCUUUGGGCAGCAGGAUUUUAUCUUUUAGCUAAGGUGGAAGAAGCGGCAGAUAAACCAAUUUACAGAUGGACUCAUCAUAUCAUCAGUGGGCACACCCUCAAGCAUUUAUGUGCUGCAAUGGUUCCUAUCUUCUUGACACUUAUGCUUGCAAAGAGGAGUAUUGAAACAGAGAGGUUUGUUUGUUUGUUUUUUUUUUUUCCCCAUCUCUUUUUCCUUGUUCAUGCAGUUGUUUUAGGAUUAUGAUCAGAUAUGGUGUUGGAAUGGGUGUAGGAAACCUUAUAGAAAGGGUACUAAUAGAUCAAGUGAGAUUCUCUUUUUUGUGAAAAAGGUCAUGUUAGAUAAAAAAAAGGUCUUUGCCUUGUUAAAUGCCGGUAAUACUGUUGUUUUGUAGCUUGGAAAAGCUAGAUUAAGUUUAGGAGUAAAUAGAUAAAAUCUUCACUUCAUUUUAUUCUGUUAUCAUUUUUCUUUGAUGGAGAAUUUAAACACCAACAGUUAACUAGCUGCUUUCCCCUAUGAAAUUGCCUGCCCGGUAUCUCUUUUUACUAACUUUCUUGCUUUCCCCUAGGGUAAUUCUAAUCGCAUAUGUGAUAUGCUUCACCUUUACCAGUAUAUGGAAUCCACAGCAUUGCCCUUCCCCCCCUCCUUCUUCUUGGCAUGAUGAGAGCAUUUCCUAUAGCUUAUUCUUGUAGUUCGUAGACAGAUUUAAUGGGUUAGAAAUCCUAAGAGAAACAAACAGUUGCAGGCAGUUAUACUGGAUAGGCUUUCUUAAGAGAAGGGGGGUUGUUGGGUUUCUUUGGAACAGUAGUAGUUUCACUCGAAUUUGUGUAGGAAUCCUUGAUCAUGUACUAUACAACUAGUCAUGUGGUUCCUCUUUCCAAUAUCCACAUUCAAGCAAAGUAGACUCGCACAGUCUAUUGUUCGUUUGUUUUUUAUGAGCAUUUAGUUCUUUAAACUUAUAUUAUUGGCUAAAAAGGAAAAUAUUAUGGGUAUGCAUGAUUCUGUGUCUAUUGAUGAAUCUGCAAUGUAUUUUUGCAAUACAGGAUAAGUCUCUAUAAGAGGUGGAAGAUUUCAUGGACAGAAGUCAAAGAAAAUGGUGCAAAGGUGGAAAGUUAUACUUGUACCUAUACAAAUGUACCAGUUGCAGAAUCACCUUAAUCCGAUACACACGAAUAUCAUUCAAUGUGAUUGAGCAUUUGUAUGUAGACCAAAACCAAAAAGUUCACUCUAACCUGGUUACUGAACACUGGAUCAACUUACAGAAUAGAAUUGUUUUUGUACUGCUAUUUAAAUUUGUGCACAUUGUAUUACUUAACUAUUUUGUAUAGGCAGAAAGAAAUACAUGGACUAGUGGAUUUUGUUCAUGUUGGAUUUUACUUUGUUAUAUUAUCAUAGCCAUAUUAAUAGAUGUGAUGUGAAAGGUGAAGUUUGAGUCUAUUUUAUUGCAUUGCCAAGUGAUGCAAGAGAAUGAGUGGGUUUUAAUAUAUAAAUUCAC
rnacentral:misc_RNA from 1 species